AAAGCGCAUAAUAGUCCACCACGAGUGGACACCUUUUGUCCCAUUCCCAUCCUAUGCUGCUCAGCCAGAACCGUACCACAUAGAUGCAAUAUUUGCCAUCGCUUGCCUUGGCUUGAUUGUUUGUUUGGGUCUUGGCUUGAGGUACUGACCAGUCCUGAAUGGAGUUAAAUCGCAUACUUAGGCGGUUACACUAGCUACCUGUUGUGCAAUGUGAACUCUGAAGGCAUGUACUCAUGCAAGGUGCUUAGAGAUAUGCUUAGAAAAUCAAAUUGGUACUCAUGCAAGGUGCUUAGAGCCAGGGUGGGGGACGGCCGCGCUGACGGGCCGAAGGAGGCGUUGCAGGAGCGCGCACGGAGGACGGCGGAGGCGCGUGGUGAGUGGCUUGAGAUGGUCGUCCACAACUGGCUUGAGCUCGAGAUCUCCUUCUUCAGCGUGUUCCAUCCACAGGAAGAGAAGAGGAAGGAGCUGGGCGACUGGCGGCCGCCGCGCAUCGGCGACCUCGGCCUCCCCGCGCAUCUGUGUCUAGCUUUCUUUGCCAUUAACUGUACAUUUUGUGCGCUUUGGUUUGAACCUGAAAUUAUUUUGGGGGUACAUAUUCUGAAAUGAUUGAUGCAAGCCCAUGAUCUGCUCCGAUGAUUCAUGCUUUCCAAGCUUGUUUCCCAGGUAUCUGCUAGGUUGGAAGGAGUGGCGAUGAUCUUGUGACAGUUGCUGCUUGAGCCGAGUACUAUCCCCACCGUUCCACUGUUGAAGCUGACGAGAACAGGGUGUGGGUAAUGGCCCUACCAGGCUCUCCAUUUGUCUUGUUUAUUCUUGUGUUUACGGUUGACACCUACUGGUAGUCCUCCUCAGUCCUAACCUGGACGGUAGCGGAGGCGUGGAUGUUGCAGAUGCCUCCGAGGCGCUCGAGCAAAUGGUCCCUUCAUCUCCCAUCAAGUGAUCCAAGGAUGUGCUAGGUAAAACUUGGGGCGAGUAGCGGAUAGUGUGGAUGGCCGCGAUAGAGUACUUGCUCAGCAGAUUAGAUGGUUCGUUUUACUUCAUAACAUGGUAUCAAAGACGUAGAGGAAGAGAGCCACUUAACGCCAUGUUGGUCUCCUGAAGGUGAUCUGAAACCCUUAUCUAUUUUCUUUCAAUCAGCUGGAAUCUAUUGCUAUUGUCUACCAUCCUAGGAAUCAAAACUUCACAAAAGUAAUAAGGUGGGUUGGACUUUAUCCGUGGGUUUCGUAUAAAAAGGAUACAUCUCAGAUUGUUAAACUUCUGGAAAAUUAUAUCUGAAGCAAUGCACCCUGUACCCUGUACCAUACCUAAUGCACCACUCAAUUUUGAACUUUACCCUUCACUUCUAGGACUACGUCAGUUUCUGUUCUUCUCCAUUUUCCUGAUGCCAACUUUUGUAGUGGCUGAGAUUGUUUGUAGUUACGGAAUUUGACCAGAUUCUGGAAAUUGUUCCCUGUGAAAUCCCUGGCGGCAACGCCUGUACUAGAAUAAUAUCUUGAUCCUUGGGACUUUGUCUCCCUUUCCUGUACUGAAAUAAUAUCUUGAUCCUUGGGACUAUGUCUCCCUUGAAUGUUGCUUGUGCUUCCAAAGACAGCAUUUUGUCUGGGUUACCUAUUAACAUAGUUGAUGCAGUAUGCAAACAUCCUACAUAGUCAUGAGUUCUAGGAAGUUUCCUCUCCCUUGUGCAGCAAAAAAAUGCUGCCAAGUCAUUCUUAUUAUGUCAGAGCUUUUCAUUACAAUAUAUCCUUGCUCGUUCUUUGUUCUCUUUGAUCAUCCUUUUUACGGUUAGUACUAGCGACCAAUUCUGAUUUGUAUUGGUUCUAAAUAGUUUAUGAUUAAAUAUAUAAUUGCAAGAUCUUCAUUCUUGGUCCCUCAUUUUUUUCAGGGUAUUGAGAAUAGUCUUCUUUUUAAUAAUCUUGGUAACCUGGGAUUUGUGUUAAAAACCACCUUAUCAUAUGGAUGCGAUUGGUAGAGCAGUGACAUUCAAUUUUCAUAAGUCCAAUAUUUGUAUUUCCUUUUUUGUAGGAUUGAUUUCCAUAUCUUUUUUUUUGCCUUCUUGUUUUGUAAGUAUAACUCUGCCUAUGCCUUUUAGGAAUAGCUGGGCCCAGGUAAAGGAGGAGGGUUGUGUUAGGCUUGGCGAGCCAACGAUAAAAACCAAUCAUUCUUAUGGAUGUGAAACCCUUGUUUUGAAUAGGUAUCGAGCGCCUAGGGCAUGUUCCGCAAUCUCUGGAUGUGCUGCUUGCCGCCAUUGGCUAUUUACUAUGCUGCGACUUUUUGAUUCUAUCAUCUAUGUUGUAUGACAAUGUACUGCUAUUGGUGAUUUUGUGAUCAACUUCGUGUGCAACCAAAGUAUUAGUUGUCUUACUGUUGAUUCA